CGAAGACACAUUGGUUUUCUCACUCUAACUUUAGUUUAAGUGGAUGGAUCUCUAUGAAAUUUUACCAUAAGGUUCAAUACCACAAAAGGAAGGUGGGGAUUGAUUUUGGGGGUUAUGGUACCCACUGUUAAGGAAUUAGGGGCCAAAAAUAAGCAUUUUUGUAACUUCCAGACAUAACUUGUGUGUAAGUGUAUGGAUCUCUCUGACAUUGUACCACAAGGUUCCAUAUCACAAAGGGAAUGCUGGGAUUGAUUUUUGGGGUAAUUGCCUCCAAAUUUUAGGAAUUAGGGGCCAAAAAGGGGCAAAAAACAAGCAUUUUUCUAGUUUCAUGACAAUAACUUGUGUGUAAGUCUAUGGAUCUCUCUGACAUUGUAUCACAAGGUUCCAUAUCACAAAGGGAAUGCUGGGAUUGAUUUCGGGGGUAAUUGCCUCCAAAUUUUAGGAGUUAGGGGCAAAAAAGGGGCAAAAAACAAGCAUUUUUCUAGUUUCAUGACAAUAACUUGUGUGUAAGUGUAUGGAUCUUUAUGAAAUUGUACUACAAGGUUCCAUAUCACAAAGGGAAAGCUGGAAUUGAGUUUGGGGGUAAUUGCCCAAAAAAUUUAGGAAUAAGGGGCCAAAAAAGGGGCCAAAAAAUAAGCAUUUUUCUAGUUUCCAGACAAUAACUUGUGUUGAAAUGUAUGGAUCUCUCUGAAAUUGUACUGCAAGGUACCAUACCACAAAGGGAAGGCUGGGAUUGAUUUUGGGGGUAAUUCCCUCAAAAUUUUAGUAAUUAGGGGCUAUAAAAGGGCAAAAAAACAAGCAUUUUUCUAGUUUCAGGACAAUAACUUGUGUGUAAGUGUAUGAAUCUUUAUGAAAUUGUACUUCAAGGUUCCAUAUCACAAAGGGAAAGCUGGGUGUGAGUUUGGGGGUAAUUGCCCUAAAUGUUUAGGAAUUUGGGGCCAAAAAGGGGCCAAAAAACAAGCAUUUUUCUAGUUUCCAGACAAUAACUUGUGUUCAAGUGUAUGGAUCUCUCUGAAAUUGUACUGCAAGGUACCAUACCACAAAGGGAAAGCUGGGAUGGAGUUUGGGGGUGAUGAAUCAUAAGGGGGUUCAAAAAAUUGGGGGGGGGAUUUUUUUUUUUCAUUUUUUUUCUUUAAAAUUUUCCAUUUUAAAUUGGUUAUUUCUGAUUUAUAUAUAAAAGCAAAUAAUAAUGAUAUGGUUUGAAUAGGUAAAUAAAAAUUUUUAAGUUCUAAGACCACUUUCAUUCUGUGUGAGAAACCUAUGCUGUGUCAAAUAUUUAAUUACAAUCCAAAUUCAGUGCUGUAUCAAGCUUGAAUGUUGUGUCCAUACUUGCCCCAACUGUUCAGGGUUCGACCUCUGCGGUCGUAUCAAGCUGCGCCCCAGCGGAGCAUUUUAUUAUAAUGGUGAAGUUGGAUAGGAUAGAUAUUGCUAAUGUGAGUUCCAUAACUGUAUUUAAAUCUUGUAUUUAAAAAAGGAAUUAGGUACAAGAAAUUGUAAAAACAGAUUUAAAACCCCUGGGUGAAAUAUUUAAUAUUAUUAUAAGCUUUGAGAAGAUAUAAAAUAUAUGAAAAAAAUAAUUUUAGCUUUAAAUUGCUUUAUUUCAGGUUUAUAUAAAAUUAUUUAGUCAUAUCUGUACAUGAAAUAACUAUAUACUUUCAGAAUAAACAUUUGUGGAAGGCUUCUUUUAUGAUAAGAUUUACAGAGUUUGAAGAGAUAAUUCAAUUAUUAUGAGUAAUGGGACAGCUGUUUGGUGUUAAGAAUCAUUGCAAAGCAUAAAAGUCAGUUAGAAAGUGUUCACCUGAUCUUUACCUGAUUUCAUGGUUUGAUGAUCAAUGUAUGUUAAGUUUUUGUGAUUUAGUCGUAUUCUCCCAAAAUGCUAGUGUAUAUAUGUUUGUGAUGGAGUUUAUCUGACUUUGACCUCAUUUUCAUGGUUCGUUUGUCAAUGUUAAUAUUUUGUGAUUAGUAAUGUUUCUCACAUACUAUUGAGUAAAAGGUUAACUUCAUUCAGUGUUGUAGAAUGAUGGUUAGGUGUACAUGUCUAUCUUAAAUGGUGUUCCCUCACUUUCAUGGAUCAUUGAUUAGGUUAAGUAAAUCUGAUGCCUAUAAUGAGUUUAAUGAUCUCAGCAUGAAAUUUCAUAAUAAUCAGCGUGAAGAAGUGGAUACAUUACAGCAUGUGCAUUCUUGUUUACAAACUUAGGAACUUGCUAAUUUAAGAAUUUCACUCCUUACCAUAGCAUUUUUUCCUUGUAUGUUUAGUUAUAUGAAUGUUCUGUAAAAUGGAUUGUUUGAAUUAAGAUUUUAUUUGUGUCAUAUAUAUUUCAUGUUCUUUAUUUGUGCAUAUUGACAAAGUUGUGAUUGGAUUUGGAUGAAUAUAAUAUUGUUAACUUUAUAUCAUGUUAUGUUUUUAUUGUAAUUUCAUUCAAAGAGGCAUUGAAGUGGAAUAUUUACCUUGUGCAUUUAUUAUUAGGAAAUUACAUGAAAUGUUAGAAACUGUAUCAUUUCAACUUCACUUCUAUUGUUGUUUAAUUUUUAGGCUCCUCGAAAAAUUUCAGAGUCAUAUAGUAAUCUCUAUGUCUGUCUGUCUGUCCUUCCAUUCAUCCAUCUGUGUGUCUAAAACAAAUGAUUUCUGGAUGUGUCUGUGUAGAUAAAUACAGCACCACGAUAAAGUUAAAGGGCAGCAUUUUGAAACAAAGUAAAACCCCAGAGAUAGAAGUAGGCAAAAAACGUUACAAGAUUAACUGAUACUUAAGUCAGAAUAAUUGUAUAUAAGGAUUUUAUUAGUUUUGUGACUAAAAGUUAUCUACUAAUCCUAACUCUAGUGAGUUUUAACAAAAUCAAGCAUUCUAAAUUUGAUGUUUUUAGAAUAUUUUUUCCCAAUUAAGCUUCAUGAGGAACUUUUCCAGCUAUAAACACUGAAUUCCUAAGAGGACAGAAAAAAUACCCACAAAAAAACCUACAACGCUGAUGUGAACAAGGAAAACAACUUGACUCUGGAGGGAUAUUUUAACUUCUAGCUGGCUUGAAUUAUAUCAUCAGUGUUAAAGCACAGAUAAUUGGACAAUUGCCAUCUCAAUAGACUGGCAUGUUUUUGUGAAAUAACAACAGACCAAAAAGACGGGAUUACAUUCCAAUUCUCUCAAGUUUAGGUACUUUAUUUCCAUUUUUAAACAUGAAGAAGUUAUAGGUGUGUCCAUUUUUUUCAUUGUAGUGUAUAUUUUUACUUUUUGAAAGUAGGUUUCUUCUAAUAUGCCUUUUACUGGUUACUUUAAAAGGCUGCCUCCCACUUAAAAAAAUAAAAAUGAGCAUUUAAUGUAUACAUAUAUAAAAUGCAGUCUAUACUAAUAGAGAAACAUUACUUUAAAGGACAAUGUCAUACUUAUCACUGACUAUUUCAGCUAUUGAUGCAGCUAGUAAUAUUAUGAAAAAAGUUUUGUAUAUUUAUGAUCCAGAUUAUUCAUGUUAUAUAUGGAUUAUUGCAGCAACUUCUAUGAAGUGUAAUACCUCAAAUAGGCAAAAUAAACAAUGUUUAAUUCGCCAUAUUAAAUGUUGACUUAGCAACACAAAUUGACAAUGAUUAAUGUAAAAAAUAUUGUUAAUUGUUGUUGACUGUCCAGUCACUCAUUAGUAAUAGAAAAAGUUAUAUUUUUUGUUUCUUUGUGAAUUUUAUUUUGAUGUUGUGAAUUUGUUUUUUUCUCAAAGACAAACUAACUAGAUUGUAAAGAGGAACUUAUAUUAUUAUUAUCAUAUAUGUUACUAAAUCUGUAAGGUUCACACUGACCAUUAAAGUAAAACAAUAUUCCAAUCUUAAGAUUGUUUUUACUUUUUUUAGGAUAGUUUAUUACAAUGUAUUUACCAUUAUUUAAAUUUUCAAAGUAAAAUGUAUGUAAGGCAAGGCUUCGUUUCAUGUAUGUAUUUGGUUAUUCCGUCAAUAAGAGAGGUUCAGAAGGAAGUCUUUCGGUUUGUUUAAUGUAAUAUUGGGUUUUGAGUCAUAUUAGUUUAAUUUUUUUUAUGGGUGCAUAAAUUUAGAAACACUGCCUUGCUUGCUUGUAUUAAUAUUAUAUUCACCUUUUUUCUAGAAAUCACUAUAAUCUAGAUCCUUGCUGUUUAACGACAGAACCAUUUACUGUGACAGAACUACAAGCAGGAAUCAGUAGCAAUAUACUGUACACCACAGACAGUAUAUGGUGUAUUACUGGUUUACUGUCUUGAAAUUCUUUUCCUGGUUAACAGUAGUAUCCUAUAUAUAGGGAGAUAUGGUGUUGUGUGUAAUGAAACUAUACCUUGUAGAUAACAUGAAAAUGUUACAGCUCUUUUUGUGUAUGUCCAGUUGCUGGUAGGUUUUGAUUGUCUGAUUUUAGAAAAAAAACAGUCAUAUAUAUUUUUCUUCAGGAAAAUCCAUUGAAAAUCAACAUGAUAGGAUUUUUUUGGGGGGCAUUUGAUCUCUAGUCAUAUGUAUGUCCAAAUUAAUUUUUUUUGUGCAAUUCAACACAUUGUAUAAUUACGUGUAGUUUGAUUUUGAUGUUAAAAAAUGGCAUAUUUUAAAUUUAUAUUAUGUCUUUUCUUAGGGCGGCUGGUAGGUUUUGAAAAAUAGACAUGCCCUGAUCACACUUUGCAAAUAACAUCUAUAAAGAUAAUAUAAAAGAUUUUUUGUUCAGCCUGUGGAUACAAUAGUUCUCAAUAUUUAGCAAUGGAAUAUUACCCAUUUAUCAGUGAUUAAAUGUAAAAUUGUGAAUAAUUUACAGAUAAAACAAAUGCAUCCACUAAAUGCUGAAUGUGUACAUAGUUUUUAUUUCUAAUUGUCAUUUAAAGUAAUGUUGCCUCUGUUACCAAAAUAUUUUGAUCUCAGUCUUGAUAAAAGUGUUGAAUGACCUUGAUAAUUUAUUUAAGAGGAAUCGAUUUUGUUAAGAACUAUGUUAAAAAAGUCUAAAAGUCAUCCCAACUUCGUUUUUUAAAACUAUAAACCUACAUGUUUCAUGGUAUUUAAUAAAGUCAAGUUAAAGGAAUUAAUUGGUUAUCUUUUUUGUAUCAAUUUCUUGUCAUAGCAAGGAUAUAAACAUCACUAAAAAAAUAUGUGUAAUUUUUGCUUUUAUUUCAAAGAUAUUCAUUUUGUUAAUUCAAAACAAAAAAUUUUGUUAAUUCAAAACAAAAAAUAGGAAUGUCACCAGUUAUUAACAGCUUUCCUUUAGAAUUUGAAUGGCUGCUAAAUUGUAGGUUUACUAACUUUAAAGGUUUCACUUUGAAUGAAGAAAGUAAAAAGUCUAUCCUUUCAUGUGACAUAGUAUCUCAGCUGUAAACUGAUAAUUAGAUUCCAUUUCACACAAGAAGUUGAUGAUUUGUAUUCAAAUGAUUUUGUUACAUAUUGUCUUUAUUUAUUGUUUUGUGUAUUGUUAUAACCAUUUUUGUCUCUUUUACAUGUUGCAUUAUUUUAAUUGUUAAAUUAUUAAGAUGAAGACUGUUCCAGAAUAAAGAAAUAUUUUCAUGA